GAUGAACGCUGGCGGCGUGCCUAAUACAUGCCAGUCGAGCGAACAGAUAAGGAGCUUGCUCCUUUGACGUUAGCGGCGGACGGGUGAGUAACACGUGGGUAACCUACCUAUAAGACUGGAAUAACUCCGGGAAACCGGGGCUAAUGCCGGAUAACAUUUAGAACCGCAUGGUUCUAAAGUGAAAGAUGGUUUUGCUAUCACUUAUAGAUGGACCCGCGCCGUAUUAGCUAGUUGGUAAGGUAACGGCUUACCAAGGCAACGAUACAUAGCCGACCUGAGAGGGUGAUCGGCCACACUGGAACUGAGACACGGUCCAGACUCCUACGGGAGGCAGCAGUAGGGAAUCUUCCGCAAUGGGCGAAAGCCUGACGGAGCAACGCCGCGUGAGUGAUGAAGGUCUUCGGAUCGUAAAACUCUGUUAUUAGGGAAGAACAAAUGUGUAAGUAACUGUGCACGUCUUGACGGUACCUAAUCAGAAAGCCACGGCUAACUACGUG
rnacentral:rRNA from 1 species